GGUUCCUACCGUAUCUGCAGUCGAGCGGACCGAACGAGAGCUUGCUCUUGUUCGGUCAGCGGCGGACGGGUGAGUAACACGUGGGCAACCUGCCCGCAAGACCGGGAUAACUCCGGGAAACCGGAGCUAAUACCGGAUAACACCAAAGACCGCAUGGUCUUUGGUUGAAAGGCGGCUUCGGCUGCCACUUGCGGAUGGGCCCGCGGCGCAUUAGCUAGUUGGUGAGGUAACGGCUCACCAAGGCGACGAUGCGUAGCCGGCCUGAGAGGGUGACCGGCCACACUGGGACUGAGACACGGCCCAGACUCCUACGGGAGGCAGCAGUAGGGAAUCUUCCGCAAUGGACGAAAGUCUGACGGAGCGACGCCGCGUGAGCGAAGAAGGCCUUCGGGUCGUAAAGCUCUGUUGUGAGGGACGAAGGAGCGCCGUUUGAAUAAGGCGGCGCGGUGACGGUACCUCACGAGAAAGCCCCGGCUAACUACGUGCCAGCAGCCGCGGUAAUACGUAGGGGGCGAGCGUUGUCCGGAAUUAUUGGGCGUAAAGCGCGCGCAGGCGGUCCUUUAAGUCUGAUGUGAAAGCCCACGGCUCAACCGUGGAGGGUCAUUGGAAACUGGGGGACUUGAGUGCAGGAGAGGAGAGCGGAGUUCCACGUGUAGCGGUGAAAUGCGUAGAGAUGUGGAGGAACACCAGUGCCGAAGGCGGCUCUCUGGCCUGUAACUGACGCUGAGGCGCGAAAGCGUGGGGAGCAAACAGGAUUAGAUACCCUGGUAGUCCACGCCGUAAACGAUGAGUGCUAAGUGUUAGAGGGGUCACACCCUUUAGUGCUGUAGCUAACGCGAUAAGCACU
rnacentral:rRNA from 1 species